UGGUAGUNCACGCCCUAAACGAUGUCGAUUAGCUGUUGGGCAGCAUGACUGCUUAGUAGCGAAGCUAACGCGUGUAAUCGACCGCCUGGGGAGUACGGUCGCAAGAUUAAAACUCAAAGGAAUUGACGGGGACCCGCACAAGCGGUGGAUGAUGUGGAUUAAUUCGAUGCAACGCGAAGAACCUUACCUGGUCUUGACAUGUGCGGAACCCUCCAGAGACGGAGGGGUGCCUUCGGGAGCCGUAACACAGGUGCUGCAUGGCUGUCGUCAGCUCGUGUCGUGAGAUGUUGGGUUAAGUCCCGCAACGAGCGCAACCCUUGUCAUUAGUUGCCAUCAUUAAGUUGGGCACUCUAAUGAGACUGCCGGUGACAAGCCGGAGGAAGGUGGGGAUGACGUCAAGUCCUCAUGGCCCUUAUGACCAGAGCUUCACACGUCAUACAAUGGUCGGUACAGAGGGUAGCCAAGCCGCGAGGUGGA
rnacentral:rRNA from 1 species